UACGUAGGGCGCAAGCGUUGUCCGGAAUUAUUGGGCGUAAAGAGCUCGUAGGCGGCCUGUUACGUCUGCUGUGAAAUCCCGGGGCUUAACCCCGGGCGUGCAGUGGAUACGGGCAGGCUGGAGGCAGGCAGGGGAGAACGGAAUUCCCGGUGUAGCGGUGAAAUGCGUAGAGAUCGGGAGGAACACCAGAGGCGAAGGCGGCGACCUGGACAAGUACUGACACUCAACUACGAAAGCGUGGGGAGCAAACAGG
rnacentral:rRNA from 1 species